GCCUACGGGGCGCAGCAGUGAGGAAUAUUGGUCAAUGGUCGGGAGACUGAACCAGCCAAGCCGCGUGAGGGAUGAAGGUACAGAGUAUCGUAAACCUCUUUUGUCAGGGAACAAAGGCGGGGACGUGUCCCCGGAUGAGUGUACCUGAAGAAAAAGCAUCGGCUAACUCCGUGCCAGCAGCCGCGGUAAUACGGAGGAUGCGAGCGUUAUCCGGAUUUAUUGGGUUUAAAGGGUGCGCAGGCGGUAUGUUAAGUCAGCGGUCAAAGCCCGGGGCUCAACCCCGGCCCGCCGUUGAAAAUGGCAGG
rnacentral:rRNA from 1 species